rnacentral:rRNA from 1 species
AAUAGAUACCCGGGUAGUCCACGCUGUAAACGGUGGGUACUAGGUGUGGGGUCCAUUCCACGGGUUCCGUGCCGUAGCUAACGCUUUAAGUACCCCGCCUGGGGAGGUACGGCCGCAAGGCUAAAACUACAAAGGAAAUUGUACGGGGCCCCGGCCACAAGCGGCGGAGCAUGCGGAUUAAUUCGAUGCAACGCGUAGAACCUUACCUGGGUUUGUACAUGGAUCGGGAGCGCUCAGAGAUGGGUGUGCCUCUUUUGGGGUCGGUUCACAGGUGGUGCAUGGCUGUCGUCAGCUCGUGUCGUGAGAUGUUGGGUUAAGUCCCGCAACGAGCGCAACCCUUGUUCACUGUUGCCAGCACGUUAUGGUGGGGACUCAGUGGAGACCGCCGGGGUCAACUCGGAGGAAGGUGGGGAUGACGUCAAGUCAUCAUGCCCCUUAUGUCCAGGGCUUCACGCAUGCUACAAUGGCUGGUACAGAGAGUGGCGAGCCUGUGAGGGUGAGCGAAUCUCGGAAAGCCGGUCUCAGUUCGGAUUGGGGUCUGCAACUCG